rnacentral:rRNA from 1 species
AUACGGAGGGUGCGAGCGUUAAUCGGAAUUACUGGGCGUAAAGCGUACGUAGGCGGUUUGCUAAGUCAGAUGUGAAAGCCCCGGGCUUAACCUGGGAACUGCAUUUGAUACUGGCAGACUAGAGUAUGAUAGAGGGGGGUAGAAUUCCUGGUGUAGCGGUGAAAUGCGUAGAUAUCAGGAGGAAUACCAGUGGCGAAGGCGGCCCCCUGGAUCAAUACUGACGCUGCGGUACGAAAGCGUGGGGAGCGAACAGGAUUAGAUACCCUAGUAGUCC